rnacentral:tRNA from 1 species
GGUAGGAUGGCCGAGCGGUCUAAGGCGCUGGCUUCAGGUGCCAGUCCACUUCGGUGGGCGUGGGUUCAAAUCCCACUCCUACCA